UAACUACCUAAUUGAUUGACACAUAAGCAAUGAACUUUCUUUAAUUAUUACAAAAUUGAGGUUACAUGUUUUCAAAUGUUCCUAGAUUAAUAUAGGAUUUUUAUUUUAAAACCUCCCAAUUAAGUUUAUUUUGGUUAAAACUCCUAAAUUAAAGAUUUAACAGAAAACUUCCCAACCUAAAUUAUCUUAAUGAAUCAGACCCUCCGUUAAUUGUCCGUUAAAGUUCGUGAAACAACACGAUUUGUUAAUAAAAACAACACAAUGUUUAACUAAAAAUAUCAUGUAGUUUACCAUUUUCACUUUUAACAUAAAAGUUUUAAGUGUCGUAAAAGUCCCAUUACUGAGAGAUACGAGGGAUGAACCCUAAUUUUCGAAAGAAAGAUUUUGAUUAUCGUUAAUUUAGUUCUUGUGAGAAUCUGAGAGAAGCUGUGUUCGUGAGUUCAAACACAAUGACAAUCUUAACUCUUGACAUAAAAUAAGUACAAAAACAACACUUGAAACACAAUCAAAAUGUCAUAGAAACUAGUUAAAAACAACACUUUCACCACUAAAACAAGCUGCAACCACAACUCUAUCUUAGCAACUUAAUUUAGUUAGCUUUUAACCAAACUGACUUACUUUUAUUCUUCUGGUUGUGUAACUACACAACGAAGUCUUCUUCCUUGACUUCUUCUUCCUUUCUUACUCUUCACGCUUCUUUUUCUUCUUCUUCCUUUUCUUGCGCUCCAAGCUUCUUCUUCUUCUUUAUUCUUCUUCUACAUGACUCCUUGGUCACUUCUUCUUUUUGUGUGGCAAGCUUCCUUGCUUCCACUUCUUCUUCUCUUAGAGGAUUUAAUCAAGUUUCAAUCUCAACACUCAAUGUCAAAACAAUAGCCAAAGCUAAUUCCAUUCAAAUCUAAUUCCAUUCAAAUUUCGCCUAAAUAGCACAAUCAAUUGAAAACAAAACUUUAAACAAAUUAGAAAAAUCACAUAACAAAGUGAAAGCAAAAGAGAACAAAACGAAAGGCAUAAGGUACACGAAUCACCAGGGAGAAGAUGAACAAUUAUAAACUUGAAAAUUUGAAGAACCCUAAUUUUAACUUUGGGACUCGCCAUACAGAUAUAAGGAAGAAGAAAACCAUGUCGUUUUUUUUUGCACUUAUUAAACUAUGAGUUCCAUUUAGACGGAGAUUUUCAAAUUUAUAACGGGACAACUAAUGGAGGGUCUGAUUCACUAAGAUAAUUUAGGUUGGGGGGUUUUUUAUUGAAUAUUUAAUUUAGGAGUUUUUAUCCAAAAAAAAACUUCAUUGGGGGGUUUUUACAUUAAAAAUUCAUUAAUAUAUAGGGGAUUGUUCCAUGUUACAUUGGUAUUUUUAUUAUUAAAUACAAUAGUAUUAUAAUUUUUUUUUUCGAGUGUUUUUAUUAAUCAAAGAAUAUUUUGACGGAAGUCCAACUAAUCUUCUAUAAAAGUAUCGACGAAUAAUUCGAUCCUGAGUUUUCAAAUAAGGUUUAAGACAUGAUUUCAUGUCUUGCCUGACCAAGCAAAUGACAAUUUAGUUUCUGGCAGAAUUCAAAUCCAUGACUGACAAAUUUACGAUUUGUCCCAAGUUCUCCUUUUACCAUCAUGCUAUCACUGUUUGGCUUCUCUCGUGUUACACAACAAAAAUUGGAUCAUCAGACAAUUUUUAAAGGCUGUGAUUUUUUUUCUUAAAAAAUCAUUGUUGAGAAAUAUAUCUAAACAUUAACCAAAAAUAAAAUAAAAUAAGUUGGUAACACAAACAAAACAGAAAAGACAAAUCAAAUUAUAAGCGCAUUAACCUACAAUUUUUUUUUUUUUUUUGCUUAAACUUUGGUAAACCUACAAAUUAGAACCACAAAUAAAUUAAGAAGAUCAAAUUAUAAACAAAUUAAAGUACAAGUUAAAACUGAUUUAUGUUUGUAUUGUGAAUUCUUAGACUUGGUUUCUACCGGACGAUAUACAUACAACUUGGGGAUGAACAAGUACGUCAUGACAGCAUGGAGGUGAAAUCUGCGAGCAACAAGUAAGACUAUCGACAUGGGCUCGGUUCAGGUUAGUGUUGAACCAGCUUUCCCCACUGUUUCUUCCGGUAGCUCAAUCAACCACAGUGAAAAAGACCCAUGGCACUCAAAGAAAGCGCGAAAACGAAUGCUCCUUAGCUCCGUUGAGACUUGGUCGUAGAAGAAUUAUUGUGUUCCCACCAAAGAAAAUACUACACCGAUCUUCUGUUAGAUUAGAUAUUUGAAGGGAUUUUAAACGUGCAUCUCAAAAUUAUAUUGUCCAUGUUCAGACAACAAAAUAUUGGUUAAACCUUUUGCUUUAAGUGUGGUCUUACUAUUUUUUGGGAACUAAUCUUUUAUUUUCUUAGUUCAGUUUUGAAAUACUCAAUUUGUUAUUUUGUUUUCAAAUUGUAAACCUUAUCGGCUGUCUUAUAGGCUUACAGCGCCAACCACUGAGUUGAGUUUUGGCUGUUACUUUGGCUUUAAUGUGCAAGAUAAAAUAGACAAAAAUUCCAGACAAUGCAAAUCUAUAUGUUGUCACCAAUUUUCGAUUUUUAGAAUGAUAGAUUCAUGUUGAUGUUAGAUUCGGAUUAAUUAUGGGCUUCCAACUUAAAACCAAUUGGCAAUUAGUGGAUUGGCCCAAGUCCCUUAUAUAUUACUCAAGUCCCUUAGAAUUCCCGAUGUGGGAUAUAUAUCCCUAAUACCCCUCCUCGAGAUGAUGGCUCUUAUCGGCCAGAAAUCUCGAAAUUUUUUAAGACAGUUAUACUCGGUCGAGCGAGUCAAUUAUGAUCUUUAUACCCGGUCGGAUAGGGUUAUAUUAAUUAGGGGUAUAACGUAUUUAGGAUCUGAACUCUGAUACCAUGUUAAAUAUAAUAGAAUAAAUAUAUUAUUGUGUUGUGUGUUAAUGACUUACAAGAGUGUUGUAUAUAUACACAAGACUUAGACCUAUCUCAACUAACAAUAGAAAUUAUCUAAAUCUUAUGAUAUAUAUCUAAAAUAACUAAUCCUUAUCACAAGUGGAUUUAUAUAAUAUUCUUCGGUUUGGGUUUCAUAGACUUCAUGAGCUUCACUUCAUAAUUGGACUUCAACGGUCCAUAACAAUUGGUUCGCAAGAUAGACAUUUUGCUCUCCAAUAUAUCUCCAAUACUCCCCCGCACGACAAACGUGGGAUGCAACACGCAAAGCUGCAUUACAAAACAGACCAUGUAUGACGUGGACAAUAUUGUCGAGGAAAAAAUUUAGUAGAUUCCUCCGAAUAAAAAACAUCAACUUCAACUUCAACUUUAAACAAGGAAGGUGAAACUUCAACUUUCUUUAGUUUUGACAAUAGGAAUAUAUCCCGUGGACGCAACUGCAGUUCCAAGAACAAUCAUCUUUAUCUGGGAUAGUCUAUAACACGGACUAAAAACUUGACCUAAAUACGUAAGUGUUCUAUUAGAACCCCCUCUAGUGGUUAAACUAUAACCAAAGUAUCCCAAACUAUGGAAUAUAACACAAGAAAUCUUUGAGAAAUUCUAGACUAUAGAAUAAUCUCUAACUAUAAAAAUAUUCCAAACUAUGGAAAACAACACUUUGAAUAUUCUAAACUACAGAAUAAAUCUCAGACAAAAUCAACCCAUAUGAAACCCACAAACCCUUAAACAUCAUUAAACCUCUCUUUAAUUUUUGCACUCACCGGCCACGUACCCAAAACAAAACCCACUACCAUUCUUAAUUAAUAAAAAAAACAAAUCCUAUUAGUCAGAGAUCACGUUAACUUAUUUCAAGCUUUUGUUGCUUCACGUCUUGAUAGUCUCCGUCUUCAUCAUCGUCAACAGCACCGAUGAUGAUCAUCAUCAAAGCUUAGAAGUUAUAAUGCGGAAGCUUUAAUUUUGAUCCCUAAAAAUCGAAUACUCUGAUACCAUGUAAAAUAUAAUAUUCUUCGGUUUGGGUUUCAUAGACUUUAUGAGCUUAACUUCAUAGACUUCAACGGUCCAUAACAAUUGGUUCGCAAGAUACACAUUUUGCUCUCCAAUAUAUCUCCAAUAGUUGACAUAUAUAUUUUGUGAUUAAGUUUGUUUCUUGAUUAUAUAUUUUGUGAUUAAGUCUGUUUUCUUGUUUUUGAUAAGAUUUGAUGUAUGAAAAGAUUAUUGAUGAACGUGUUACGUGAACAACUCAAGUUUCUCCAGUUUCUCAAGUUCUCAACCACACUCCGAAGACUUGUGGGCUCUCAACAUUAAGAUUCUUGUUGAUAUCUUAUAACAGAAGUUAACUCUCUUCUCCUCUUGCCACCUCAUCAAAUAGGGCAAGGAGGAGGCUACACCUGUCCCAUAAAUUAAAACACACCGUUUCUUUAACUUGGCAAUGAAUUGAUGCGGGCUUAUCUAUGUGUUUUAGGCCUUAUGUGUGGAUAAAAAGACUAGCCGGCCAGCCCAAUAGGAUUCGACGCAAUCCUCUCUUAACGCCGUCAACCCUAUCUCGUCUCUUCCUCCUCCAUGGCUGCUUCAGCUUCGUCCCUCGCUCUCUCCACCUUCAACCCUAAAUCCCUUCCUUUCUCCAUCUCCAAACCUGCAUCCACUUCCCUCCUACCUCUUCCCUCUCCUUCGAACUCAACUCCCAAUCUAUUUCCCUCUCCAUCUUCGCUUCCUCCGCCGCGUCUCGCUUCGUCCGCAACGUCGCGGUUACAGACGACUUCAACGUAGAAGAAUAAGGGAACAUUUUCUCCGAUGAGGCUCUGCCGCCUCCGCAGCAGGAGCAAUCCUUCUCUGCUGACCUUAAACUCUUCGUCGGUAACCUUCCCUUUAACGUCGAUAGUGCUCAGCUCACUCAGCUCUUCGAAAGCGCCGGAAACGUUGAGAUGGUUGAGGUGAUCUAUGACAAAGUGACAUGACGAAGCAGGGGUUUCGGGUUCGUGACUAUCUCUUCUGUGUCUGAAGUUAAGGUAGCUGCUCAGCAAUUCAAUGGCUAUACAUCAUAGGGGCUGUACGAGACAUCAACAUUACUUUUAAUGAUCAGACUUGGACAGCUCAACACAUUAUGAUUAACAGUUCUACAACUGUUUCUCUAAGUGUUUUUGAUGCACAAGCGGACCAGCUAAAACAAAAUAUCUUGGCCAUCGGUGUGGCAAAGGUGAUCGUCGCAACCAGCAUUAACCCCAAGUUUGUUGGAGGUAACAUUCGGUGUGGGAAAGGUGAUCGUCGCAACCAACAUCAACCCCAAGUUUAUAGGGGGUGGACUAUACCUGGAUGCUACUUCUGGGAUCCAUUUUUACUUUGACCAUGAGGUGGCCGCAAGCCGGAGACUAUUUCAAGAGUUGUAUUCAAAACCCGAGAAGGACACUACCAGUGCAAAGCAGUACCAUGGUGUAAAGAAGCUCGAAAAGGUUUCACUAGGAGAGUUGAACAACUAUGCUCUGGAGUCACCCCCACAAGCCAUUGAGUUUCUAUGCAAAGCCAAGAUCGCAUCACUGGAAACUACAAACGGAUGGUGUUACAUCUCCUGUGCUAAAUGCUCCAAGAAGCUCCAGCGAGGGAACUCUUUGUUCACAUGCCCUACAUGUUUUAAUGCCAGUGCUGUUGGAGUUGUCAGGUAUCGUGUUGAGCUGCUGGUGGAGGCGGGUGAUGAUAAAUCUCUCUUUGUAGCAUUCGACUCAGCUAUGACUAAGCUGACAGGAAUCGGGGCUGCAGAAGUUGCGAUGGAGUGAUUGAAGCUUCAAGUUAUGUACAAGCUCCAUCAAUCUGACAUAUCUUGAUUAAAACAAAACACAAAAUUGUAGAUUGGAUUAGUGAAAGUUUUAUCUUCACUUACCAUUGUUAGAUUUCUUUUACUAACUUUUUGUUUCUCAUAUGAAAGAAAGCUGAGAUCUCGCAUUUUAU